rnacentral:rRNA from 1 species
UGUUGCUUCGGUAACUGACCUAGCGGCGGACGGGUGAGUAAUACUUAGGAAUCUGCCUAUUAAUGGGGGACAACAUCUCGAAAGGGAUGCUAAUACCGCAUACGCCCUACGGGGGAAAGCAGGGGAUCACUUGUGACCUUGCGUUAAUAGAUGAGCCUAAGUCGGAUUAGCUAGUUGGUGGGGUAAAGGCCUACCAAGGCGACGAUCUGUAGCGGGUCUGAGAGGAUGAUCCGCCACACUGGGACUGAGACACGGCCCAGACUCCUACGGGAGGCAGCAGUGGGGAAUAUUGGACAAUGGGGGGAACCCUGAUCCAGCCAUGCCGCGUGUGUGAAGAAGGCCUUAUGGUUGUAAAGCACUUUAAGCGAGGAGGAGGCUCUCUUGGUUAAUACCCAAGAAGAGUGGACGUUACUCGCAGAAUAAGCACCGGCUAACUCUGUGCCAGCAGCCGCGGUAAUACAGAGGGUGCGAGCGUUAAUCGGAUUUACUGGGCGUAAAGCGUGCGUAGGCGGCUUUUUAAGUCGGAUGUGAAAUCCCCGAGCUUAACUUGGGAAUUGCAUUCGAUACUGGGAAGCUAGAGUAUGGGAGAGGAUGGUAGAAUUCCAGGUGUAGCGGUGAAAUGCGUA